rnacentral:rRNA from 1 species
UUGACCUCGGAUCAGUAGAU